rnacentral:rRNA from 1 species
UUAUUUAAGGUCUAACCUGCCCACUGAGAUUUUAAAUGGCCGUGGUAUUUUGACCGUGCUAAGGUAGCAUAAUCAUUAGUUUUUUAAUUAAAAACUGGAAUGAAAGGUUGGAUAAGAAAAUAGCUGUCUCUGUUAAAUUUAAUUAGAAUUUUAUUUUUAAGUUAAAAAGCUUAAUUAUUAUUAAAAGACGAGAAGACCCUAUAGAGUUUAAUUAUUUAAUAAAAAAUAUAUUUUAGUAUUUAUUUAUUUAUUUUAUUAAAUAAUUUAAUUGGGGUGAUUGAAAAAUUUAUUUAACUUUUUUUAUUUUAAAACAUUAAUUUAUGAGUAUAUGAUCCAAUAUUUUUGAUUAUAAGAUAAAAUUACCUUAGGGAUAACAGCGUAAUUUUUUUAGAAAGUUCAUAUUAAAAAAAAAGAUUGCGACCACGAUGUUGGAUUAAAAUAAAUUUUUGGUGUAGAAGCUAAAAAUAUUAGGUCUGUUCGACCUUUAAAAUUUUA